UCUUGAGUUUUUCCGCUGUUUUUCCAUCCUUGGGAGUCUCCAUCAGAGCUUCCCUUUUUCUCUAAUUUUUCUUAUAUUUUCUUGAGUUUUUUCACUAUUUUUCCAUCCUUGGGAGUCUCAAUCGGGUGGGAGACUUGGAGCAGCCGAAUAGGCCAUGUGAUUUCCUCCCCUCUUUCUAACAAAUAGAAGGUCCGUGUGCAUUCGGGGGAGCUUCUGCAAGCAAGCA
rnacentral:lncRNA from 1 species